rnacentral:rRNA from 1 species
GACGAACGCUGGCGGCGUGCUUAACACAUGCAAGUCGAACGGAAAGGCCCUGCUUUUGUGGGGUGCUCGAGUGGCGAACGGGUGAGUAACACGUGAGUAACCUGCCCUUGACUUUGGGAUAACUUCAGGAAACUGGGGCUAAUACCGGAUAGGAGCUCCUGCUGCAUGGUGGGGGUUGGAAAGUUUCGGCGGUUGGGGAUGGACUCGCGGCUUAUCAGCUUGUUGGUGGGGUAGUGGCUUACCAAGGCUUUGACGGGUAGCCGGCCUGAGAGGGUGACCGGCCACAUCGGGACUGAGAUACGGCCCAGACUCCUACUGGAGGCAGCAGUGGGGAAUAUUGCACAAUGGGCGGAAGCCUGAUGCAGAAACGCCGCGUGCUGGAUGAAGCCCUUCGGGUUGUAAACCGCUUACGCCUGUGACGAAGCGUGAGUGACGGUAAUGGGUAAAGAAGCACCGGCUAACUACGUG